ACACACACACACACACACACACACACACACACACACACACACACACACACAGAGAGCAAUCAUGCGGGCUCUUGGGUGACUGGUUCUCUUCUGUUCGUGACAUCUGUGGGCUCCGAACAAAAACCUUUCUAUUUCCAUAGCAGCCCCUCGUCCACCCCCCACCCUCAGCCACCCCCAUGUGCACUGCGAGAGCAUGUGCACUUACAAUGUCCCCCAGCUGCAGUGGCUGGUCUGUGAGAAACAGAAUGAAGAGGAGUUAAUAAGUCAGUCAGUGUUUCCCCACUUUCUAACAACGCAAACCUAGUUCUGGUGUUUGGCUGCUGCUUGUGCCGUUUCGCAGGUGGUUAAACUUAAACUACUAAGAACCGGUUGGCUUUUCCACGUUCUAGAGCCACGGCAUUACGUCACUGUAUACAUCUAUACGUCUCUCCGCUUUCCCAUCAACGUGCCCACUUUCAGCACAAAAACAACAAUGGUGGACCAUAUUUGCGCCAAGCCUACAAUGGCCUCCAAACACAUAUUUGUACUGCUUGUCAUGAUUCCUGUGGAGGCCAAUUACCUUCUAGGAGAAAGGUAUUCUUGCGGAUGAAUGCAAGGUGGUCAACUAUUGUGUGUGAACACCCUUGAUCUCACAACUCAGUUUAGUUGUUCCAUGACGAGAACAGUGGAAAGGUUGGGGACAGAUGGCGGGAGGAGUGCUGGCAAGAGUUUGUUGUGUUGGACCACAGAAAGCGUAGCUUAUUGUUAUUUAAAAGAGUCGAGUGAGUUAGGUUUGAGAUUGUAGUGACAAUAGUUUAUUUGAUUCCUGCAACAACUUCACUUGACGGGGCGCUUUUUGUCCUAAGGCUUACAUUGCAGUAGCAAACGAGCUGCAAGGGCUGAAGCACCAUGCUCAAUACUGGACCAUUUAAUUUGUCUGCAUUAGUCAUGUAUGGUCUUUUUGGCCGCACAGUGUCAACUCGACGUGCUUAUCUGUGUUUACGUUACAAGUCUGAAGGCGUAGAAUGGACGAUUGGAGUGAGAAGUUGUCUCUCAAAUUGGAGGAAUAUAGACCUAGAAAAAUACAAUAACUGCAUUCUAAUGUCUCAGGCACAUCGCUAUCAAAUAUGGCGAGUUCUUCGCAGCUUAAUUUGUCUUUAUCGUUGAUUCUGUUUGGAUAGAAGCCCACCGCAGUGAUUUUAGUUUGAUAUUCACACCUGUUUUUCCAUAUCAAGGACAUCGUGUGGCACUCUGCAAAAUAAAUAUGAAACAUUUUCCAAUGUGUAAACAACA